GGUCGUAUAGCUCAGUUGGUAGAGCACCACUCUUACAAAGUGGAUGUCCUUGGUUCGAACCCAAGUGCGAUCA
rnacentral:tRNA from 4 species